rnacentral:rRNA from 1 species
AGUGAACGCUGGCGGUAGGCCUAACACAUGCAAGUCGAACGGCGGCACAGUAAGAGCUUGCUCUUACGGGUGGCGAGUGGCGGACGGGUGAGGAAUACAUCGGAAUCUACUUUUUCGUGGGGGAUAACGUAGGGAAACUUACGCUAAUACCGCAUACGACCUACGGGUGAAAGCAGGGGAUCUUCGGACUUUGCGCGAUUGAAUGAGCCGAUGUCGGAUUAGCUAGUUGGCGGGGUAAAGGCCCACCAAGGCGACGAUCCGUAGCUGGUCUGAGAGGAUGAUCAGCCACACUGGAACUGAGACACGGUCCAGACUCCUACGGGAGGCAGCAGUGGGGAAUAUUGGACAAAGGGCGCAAGCCUGAUCCAGCCAUACCGCGUGGGUGAAGAAGGCCUUCGGGUUGUAAAGCCCUUUUGUUGGGAAAGAAAAGCAGCAGGUUAAUACCCCGCUGUUCUGACGGUACCCAAAGAAUAAGCACCGGCUAACUUCGUG